GUUAGCUGUUACAGAAACCCUGGUCACUCAGUUCUUUCUGGAGGGAAAUUCCAGGUACAGGCCAGGCAGCACUACCUGGCCUGUACACCUCUGUUCAGGGCGUUGACUGCAGUGGUCCACAGCACUUGAGAAUGCUACAAGUUUGUUGGUGGUGUUGGUUUUAGACUUUUUUUUUUUUUAAUUAAAAUAUCAUUCCAUCAAGCCAAGCAUGACACACACAUGCAUGCACACAAAACUUACUCCCUACCAAUUUCUUUCCCUCUCCCAAAGCCUCCCAUGUCCCCCUUACUGUACUUUCUGGCCUCUUAUUAUUGCAUAUAUAUGGAGAAUAUAAAUACAACCUGCACAGUGGGUUUGGUGUUCUGUUUAUGUACACGGUUUCAGGGCUGACCACUUGGUAUUUCAGCUGUUCUCCCCUGGGGUAGAUCAUUUCUCCUGUUUUCAGAAUCCCUUAGUUACCUAUAGAUCUUUAUACUGGUGCCCAUGAGAUUUCCCACUUUCAUUUAGCAUGUCUAUCUGUUUUGUCCUUGUUUGGGUAGCCAUAUUGUUGAGAUCAUUGGUAAAGCUUCUCUGUCAUUUUGAGCAGAUCCAUUUCCCUGCAGAUCUCCUCAUCCUCGGGCAGUUACAGUCAAUCCUCUCCUUCUUUGGCAAUAUUCCCUGAGUCCUGGGGGCAUGAGUUGCAUUACAGAUGUAUCCACAGGGGCUGGACACCCUAUGAUUACCCCUAGAGUCGUUCUCUUCAUUUUGACCAGUUGUGGUUUUCUGUGAUAAUUUCUGUUUGUUGCAAAAAGAAGGUCCUUUGGCAAAGGUUGCAAGCAUAUCUAUGGGUAUAAGGGUAAGUAGUUAGAGUGCAGCAUAUCUAUGGGUAUAAGGGUAAGUAGUUAGAGUGCAGCUGGGAAUUAUGGUUUAGCAGAAAGCUAUAGUUUCAAAAAACAAACAACAACAAAAACCAACUUCUAUCUAGCCCUCCAGCAUUGGGAAAACCAGUGGUCUAACAAGUCUGAUGUUUUACAUUGUUGUCUCUUCAGCCCAUGCACAGCCUCCCCAGAAUCCAACCAAGCCCAUUCCCCGCUGUUUUCUUCCUAACAAUUGUUACUCUAUUAAAGAACUCUACUGCUUUGUGUAUACAUGCACCUUCAGUUCUCCCUCACUACAAUGUGAGCUCUCCGCGAACGCUUUGCUCACUGCUGAGAGCAACAUCUGCUAUUACAUUAUUAAUAUUAAUUAAUUAUAAAAUUAGUGAGUCUAAAUUACUGAAAACAGAGUUCUGGAAACAGUGGGCUCUCGCUUGCAUCCUUUUGUAUAGUUUGGGGUUUGGAGACUGGCAUGGGUAGACCUCUGUGGUUAGUUAGCUCUACACCACUGUUUCCAAGGACCUGACAUUGGGUAUAAACUUUGAAGUAGCAAUACAUAGCACAAGGGCCCUCUAUCAUGGGCCUUCAUAUACACUGCAGGCACACACACCUAAAUCCAUUAAACUGGCCAUAGCAUACUCCAGCUCUUUGAAUCUGGUACUUGGUGGUGUUGUGGUGCCACCCUUGAUCCUGAAUAUCCUCUCUGAUCCCGACACCUGCCUACGCGCCUAGUCUGUGCUUUUGUAUUGUUCUCUCUGUGUCUCAACCAGCAGAAAACUGUCUCCUUUUACUAAGUUUGUAAGUGUGGUCAGCGUCAGAGGGAAAGAAGGGUGAGGGUGGGGAAUGGGCAUGAAUCAGAGCCGGUCUCAGAGGGGAGAGAAGAGCUGUGCAGUUAAUGCAGGGGUAGGGUGUGGAGGCAGGAGUCGAGAGGAUACUUCCUAGUAAAGUAAAGCUCUUUUUCCCUUUCCCCUCCCUCUCCUCCCUGCCUCCCCUUCCCUCCCCACACUUUCUUUUUCUGAGCAAGAAGAUUCUUUGAAAUUCUGAAAGCAUUUGCAACAGCAGCUUCCUACAACAGAAAACAAUUACUAAGUAUCACUACCCCAUCAGCUAAGCAGACUACAUAAAGCUAAUUAAUUCAGUUGUAUUUUAUAUUUCACCAACUUUCUACUUUGUCACUAUAAUUUUGGGGGGGCUUUAAAGAUGAGAGGAUGGAAUAUAUUUUAUUUAACAAUUUGCUCACUUUGCUUAUAAUUUUAAGCAUCUAAACAUAUGGCGUGUGGGCCCUCAUUUGGAUCUCACUGUGGAUCCACGGUUUCAAUGAACAGGCCUUCAAGCAAGAGAACGGAUCCUCCCCGAUUCUCUCGGCUGCUUACUUUUGCAACACUCAUGAACUUGGCAGCUUGCAGGAACUUAUGAAUUAAGGGUUUUUGUUGUUGUUGUUGUUUUGUUUUAUUUUAUUUUGUUUUUUUAAACAACAUGUCAGAAAAUAGCUUGGCUCAGAAAUGCUCGCUGGAGUUCUCUCAUGCACUGCAAGCAGAUGUCAGCUGUCUGAACCCUUUCUCCAGGUUCAGGUGAGCUGGUCCAGAAAGAUCAGCUCUAACAUAGGCACUAGACACUGGCUAUCGGCCAUCCACACGCCACUUCAGCAGAGUGAAGCUGGGUAACUCAACUUGCAGAAAGAAAGAGAGGGCUCAAGAGAAGCAGGCCAACAACUCCAGCCUUUUGUCAUCAGGCCUUGGCUGUAACUCGGUAUCAGUUUCAACACAUUCAGACUUAAGGCCGGCCAACCCGGACCAUCAUAAUCCUCAUCAGUGUGUACACAGAUCAGCAUCCCCAUAGUCACACACGCUUUCUGGUCAGCAACCCAUCAGAAAUGUCAGGAAGCAAAUUAUUCAAGUGCCCGCAUACAGUUCUUGUUGCUCUAACCCUCGGUCUAAUGUAGAUCCAAGGGAUGUGUCUAAUCCCAGGAAGAUGGGAGCCAAGCAAAACUCUAAAUAAUCAACCUGAGGCUUAGCCAAUAACACAAAAAGGAAUGGCCUACUUUGACAUUACAAUCAUACACACAGAGAAGGUGGUAAGACUUGGGGAGAGUCUAGAUUCUUCCUAUCGAGCAAAACAUACUUGUCUUUCUGAGCCUGGCUUAUCUCACUUAACAUGGUGGUCUCCAAUUUCAGGCAUUUUUCUGCAAAUGUGCUUCUUUAUAGACAAACAAAGCUCCAAUGUAUGCAUAACACAUUUCCUCUGUCCCUCAUCUGUGGAUGGGCUUGUAAGCUGAUUCUAUGUCUUGGCUACUGUGUAAUGAUAUGCAGCAAACUUGAGUGUUAGCACAUCACUAUUGUUUGUGUCUCCGAUUCCUUUGGCUGUAUGCCCAAAGGCAUUAGAGCUGAAUUAUAAAGUGAUUCUACUUUUAAUUUUUGAGACACCUCGUGCUGACUUUAUAGGGGUUAGACUAGUUUAUGUUCUGCCAGUAUAGCGUUAAAAGGACCUUCCUCACACCCUCACUAGCAGUUCUUGCCGCUUUGUUUUGGUUUUUCCUGUGUAAUGGCCAUCCUGAGUGGUAUGACACUCCAGUGUAACUCUAAGGUUCACUUUACUGAUGCCUAAGACUAAUUAAGGUUUUUGUAUAUGUAUUGGUCAUUCAUAAGUCUUCUUGUAAGAGCUGUCUGUUCAGUCCAUGUGCCUGUUGGCUGAUUUGAUGAUUUAGGCUGCAGUUGCUUAUCUUUCUGAGGUCUUUAUAGAUUCUAGAUGUUAAUCCUCCUGCCAGAUGUAUAAUUGAUACUUUUCUCCCAUGUUAAUUUUACAUCUUACUUUACUGAUAGUUUCUAUCAUAUUGGAGAUGAUUCUGGUUGAGUGGAGUCAUAUCAUCUGCAAAUGGGGAUAAUUUGGCAUUUUCCUUUCCUGCUUGUAUCCUUUCUUUUUCUGCCUUAUUACUCUAGCUAAGAUGCCAAGCACAAUACUGACUAGUGAUGGAGACUGUAGAAACUAUUCAAUUAUUCCUUACCUUAGAGAAAAUGCUUUCAAUUUCUUCCCAUUGCUAUAAUGUUUAGUCUUUAUUAUGUUGGCAUAUGUUCCUCCUAGUGCCAGUUUCUUUAGGACUUUUAUAAGAACAGGAUGUUGAAUUUUUCCAAAAAGUUUUUUCUGCAUCUAUUGAAAUGAUCAUGUGAUUUCUGUUCCUGAUUCUAUUGCAUUUGGUGGUUUGCAUAUAUUGAACCAUCUUUGCAUCUUUGAAAUGAAUCCAACUCGAUCAUCAUACAUAAUAUGUUGCUUAAUUCAGUUUGCAAUAUUAUAUUGAGAAUUCAAUAUUCUAUAAUCAUCAUGGAUGAUGGGCUAUAAUUGUUGCAUUUAUUUGUUCUAUCCUUACCUGGUUUUAGUACCGUGGUAAUAAUAAUAGCAUAGAAUGGCAUUCUUUCCUUCCCUGUUUAAUGGACUCUUUUGAGAAACAUUGAUGUUACCUCUUCUGUAAAAGUCUAGUAUCACAGUGACUCCAUCUGAUUCUGUAAUUCUUUGUUGGGAGAUUAUUACUACCUCAAUUUCAUUCUUAUAUAUCUACUUAAAUUGCUUUUAUUUCCUUUUACUUGGUAGUUAUGUGUCUCUGAGCAUUUAUCCCUUACAUUUCUUCUGUAUUUUCUACCUUCUGAAAUACAGGUUUUGAAGUUACCCCUAGCAGCCUUUUGGGUUUAUUGAUGUUUAGUUUUCCAAAUAACUAAGGUUUUAUUUCAUUGAUUCUUUGUAUUCUUUCAGUCUUGAUUUCAUUAAUUUUGUUCUGAGACUAUUAUUUCUUACCACCUAGUGCUUUUAGAUAUGGCUUCUUCUUCUUUUUCUAAAUCUGCUUUGGUUUAUUGUGUUUUUAUGAAUAUAUUAAUAGAUAUAAACUUUGUUCUCAGCAUCGCCUCUGCCAUAUUCCAAAGGUUCCAAUAAACUACACUUUCACUUUC
rnacentral:lncRNA from 1 species